CAAAGAGAAGAAGAAUAUAUCUGUAAUUGUAAUGCUCAUGGACAGAAAAGUAGAUGUUCCCAAAAGAUGGGUUACAGAUAAAUUACUAUGGGAAUUCCAAGGAAGGAAAGGUUUAUUUCCUACUGGAGUAUGGAGAAUCAGGAAAGGCUUCCCAAAGGUGGAAUUAUCUGAGCUGGAAUUUGGACUGGUGGACAUGGGGGUGUGGAGGAAGCAUCUUUCAUGGAAGGAACAUGAGCAAAAGGAGAGAUAGGGAAGUACAGGGAACCCUCAGGUGCUAUCAGUAGGUUAGUUUGGCUGAAGCGGAGGCAUGGGGGGAACAAGGCUAAAGGUGAGUUGGCACCAAAUGGAAGGACUUGCAUGCCAUGGAGCUUUGAGAGCCAUUGAUUAAAUCCAUUACAUUCAUAUUCAACCAGUACACUACUCAUUAUAAUAUUUAGAUCUCACAGCUUCCUUACACGCUCCUUCUUUCUUUUAACUUUUGUUCUCUUGGUUUGUUGGGUCCUCUCAAGACCCUCAUGGAACCUAUGGAUAGGAAUGCUAAGCCCCAGUUUACUAACCCAGAAAUCGGUAGCCAACAGGCACUGUCAAUAUUGGACAAACAGGUUGACUGGCCACACUUGAGGAAGAGGUACCUCAAGGCCCAUGGUCUUUAUCAGACUCUCCAACCUGACUGAGUCUCUCUCUACCUGCAGGGUCCUCCAGUGAUGCACCUCAUGCCCAUCAUCCCCUGCACCCACAUCUGAUGCAGGAACACAUGGGCACGAAUGUCAUUGUUGCCAACACGAUGCCCUCUCAUCUCAGCAAUGGACAGAUGUGUGAGUGGCCCCGACCCAGGGGGCAAGCAGCCACCCCUGAGACUCCACAGCCCUCACCGCCAGGUGGCUCGGGGUCUGAGCCCUACAAGCUCCUGCCGGGAGCAAUUGCCACCAUUGUCAAGCCCCCCUCUGCCAUCCCCCAGCCGACCAUCACCAAGCAGGAAGUCAUCUAGCAAGCCGCGGGGGGUCGGGGGCUCUGCUGGCCUCCCAGCCCCCUCAGAGAGCCCCGGUGGUCUCUUGUUCCCAGUGAAGGAAGCUGUGACAACAAGGCCAGUCUCAGGGCAGCAGUGGAAAGGGCAAGGGGACCAAGAACUUGGGCUGUGGGCCACAUCCCAUUGCUACCCUCCACCCCCUGCUCUGGAUGACAGGGCUCUGACUUGGGGAGACCCCAGAUGGAAAAUCCUCUGCUGCCUUGGACAACUCUUCUCUUGCUGAAGCCACUGCCUUCCCCUUCAUCAUACCUACCCCCAACUUCUUCAGCCCCAAAGGACAGCUGUCUGGAGACGACAUGGGACCUUGCUUAAUAGCUCCCUUCCCCUUCAGACUGGUACUUCUUUCUCCAAGUACUGUCCUAGUCCCCAGACACUGAGCCCUUCAAGGCUGGGUCAGAUCGGGGCAUCUGACCCCUCCCUGUUCUGCUGCCCCAAUCUCCAACACUUCUCUCCACCUGCCACUCUCACCUUCCUCAGCCAUCCUAAUUUCUCCACAGCCACCUCUCCAGGGGCUGAAGAAGACUUGCAAACAGUCCCCCAGUCAUUCCAGGAGCAUUUUAAAAGACUAGCUGGGCUAGGCACAGUGUGGGACUGUUGAGAAGGAAGACACCAUUCCACCUCUAACCCAUGGCUCUUCCCUUCUUAGGGAAUCGGGUGGGUACUCGGGGUGAUGCUCUCCACGGACUGUCAACAACGAGAGGACAACCCAAGGUGGACAAUUGCAACAGGAACUUGGAGGGGCUGAAGUGGUCAGAGAAAGUUCGGGGAAAGGGGCAGACUCUGCAUUAGGCCUUUAAGGAAGGGCUGGAUUCCAGCCAGCGGAGCAGGUGAGAAGGACUUUCCAAGGAGGGGCAAACAGUCUGGGCAAGGCCCCAGGUUGGAAGAAGGGCACAGGGGGGAGGUGAUGGAAAGACCAGGCUGUUUGGAGCAGCAUAGGAGCCUUGAAUGCCAGGACUGAGGCACUGAGGUUUGGGAGUAGCUAGGGAGGAUGCGCAGUGAGCCGGGAGGGAGCAGGGAGAUCAGAUGGGGGGCUGGUGAUGUGAUCCAGGUGAGAGUGAGGAGACCUGGAGAUGAAGAUGGAUGGGUGCGAGCUCAGCUCAGAAGGAUGUCAGGGAGGAAUUACCCCCGUCCUGGGCCUCUCUCAAACUCUGCCUCAUUUCUGGCGCUGUGUUAAGGCACUUGACAUGCAUCAUCUCAUUGCAUCUUCUCUAUUACCCAGAGACUGUUGCAGAAGAUGAAAUUGAGGUCUAAGUGGUUAAGUGAUUUUCCUAGAACUCACACAGCUAGUAAGUGGCUGAGUCAGGAUUGGAUCCCAGGUCUGCCUGGAUCAUAAUAGGAGUUCUUAACCAGGGUGGCUGAGCAUCUCUGAAAGGGCCCCUCUCUCCUCACUGUGAGCCAGUUGAUGGACUUCCUGCCCCUGUCAUCAGCCUCAGAAGCCAAAGUCUUAUUCUUCCCAGGGGCCCUGCCCACACCCAGGACUAAGAUUGGCUUGGAGUUAUACUGAUGUCCGGGUAGGGUCCAGCAUCCUGUCUGCUAAAGAACAGGAGAAUUCAUAACUCUUGGACCCCUUUCCUCUCCUCACUCCCCAAGUCCGGGGGAGGGGCGUCAGGGGUCUGGUUCUUAGGAGAUGGACCAAUGUGGCCUGGCAGUCCAAGAGUGGGAUAGUUUGGGUGGGCCAGGGAAAGAUGAGAAGGCCUGGGUUUGAGCACUGCUCUGAAACAUUAAGCCCCAAAAUGGAACGGCCAGCACAUCAUCCUUGGGAAUUUUGGUGGCUUUGGGAAAAUUCUGGAAAGUGCUACUAGCCAUUGGGAACAAAAGAGAUGUGUUGUGGGGCUGGAGCUGUGCUUAGGUAGGAGAGUGAACAGUUAGCCUGGCCACCUAUCCCCACCCCAGGCUGACUGUUCUGAGUGGACGGAGGCAGGACCGCAGUGCCCCCAAAUUCCACCAUUAGUGAUUGCUUUUUGUGACAGAGGCAUGGGGGGUUUGAGGGCAGUAUGUCCAAGAGAAACCUCUACAUCUCCAGUGGUCCCAGGAGCAGCCUGCCCGUGCCUCCAAGCUAAGUCCCCAGUCCCAGGAGAGACUGUCCCAUGCUCAGAGCUCUCAAGCCUUCCCAGCCAUCCCUCAUUCUGAGUCCCCAGAAAUCCCAGUCAGGGAACCCAGGCUCGUCUGGGGUAAGGUGGGGAAGCCAGAAUCUUUCUGUCAUUGUGGUCAUUCCCACUCUUUGCUCCUCCAGCCCCCAGUGUUGCUCAGGCCUCGGUCAUGGGAGCGAAGUUGAGAUAAGAAUUUUCCACAGGAUGGAAUAAGCUAGCAGUGGCUUUUAACAGUAGCAAUCUUCUGGGUCAGGGGCUCAGUCCUCAGCCCCAAAUUAACCCUUCCAGGAGGAGAAAUCCAUUCCAUUUUAAUAAUUUUAUUGUAAUGCAGGAAGCCCAAAACAGAGCAGUUUACUUUUCUGAUUCUGAGGAUAUGGCAUUGGAAAAUCUCUCUCUCUCUCUCUCUCUUUGCCACCUGAGUUCUGGUCCUAAAAUAUAAAAUCUGGAGAACUAAACAAGGGUUGGGAGGGCAAGCAUGGACCCUCCAGUUCCUCCCCUGAGAUAGCCUUUUCUCUGGGCAGCUCUCAGGAGCUUCCAGAAUUCACAUGACUCCCUGCAGCACGGACAGAGGAGAGGGUUGGAGGUGUAUGCUCUUGGACUUUGUGUGAUGACCAAGCCAAUUACUUUUGCCAAAUUGUUCUGUGAUUUUCCCUGACUGGGAUGAAUUGUGAAAUUCACACCAAGCGAUUCUGCUUCCUGUGGGUGUGAAUACCACCAGCUCCUGUGUGGACCCCUGAGCCCGUCACUGCCGCCCAAUGGGGCAAAGAAGCAAAAAAACCAUUUCUUACUCUUGUGUGUUUUAACAAAAGUUUAUAAAGCAAAAUAAAUGGCACAUAUGUUUUCUAA